UCCUGCUGAGGAUGAAUGAAGGACACUCUGCUGCCACUGGCACUGACUCUCCACACAGGACGUAAAUCAGCCAGUAUGAUUGGAAAUUAAUUAAUAAACGUGUCUGCUUUUGUUCCUGUACAGUUAUAACUGCCUCGGAUUAGUGUAUCCUUUAAGGUUUAUUUUCAGAUUCUGGACUGGCACAGGCGCCGUCUGGAUACCUGGGUGGUGAGCUUCAAACUCCAGUCGACGACAGACCUGAGGUGCUAUGACAGAAACUCCUGCAGCCCGCCCUCAGGUCUAAACGUGUCAGGCAGCGUCUCGAAGAAUCGAAUAACCCAACAAAGAGAAUCCUACAUCUGUGUGUUGCUGUGGAUCCAGCCGCAGUCGCUUGUGUUUUCUGGUUAACGGUGAUUUGGCUGACGGCCCGGUGCUGCCAGUCACCGAGUUACAAACUGAAUUCUUUAGUCUCUCAGACUCAUAUUUCUGUCUCUGCUUGCACACAUUCCUGCAGGACUGAUCGUUUUAAUCAUCUGCAGAAGUAACUCACAGUAUCAUACAUCAUGCGCUGUGAGUGCAAGUGUUUGUCCACUUUAAUACACAAAGUGAACGACUACACAAACAACGAAAACAGCUGUUAUUCAGCCUGGUGUCGGGGUUGAAGUCUAACUGAUCACAUCUGUAUCGUCAGACACCUGUUAGAUGUCGAACGUUCAAGAGUCCAAGAGUAAAACUUUGUCUUGCACGCGGUAAAACCAGAGCAUCAGAGACACGCCUCUUUAAGACAAACGUGGAAUCACACGAUCACAAGGUAAAAGUUGGCAUCUUGAAUGUCGAAGCUUGGGUUUUUUUCCCUGUUCGCAACACAACACCAGCAUUUUAAAAAGUUUUUUAUGUACGCAUUGACAGAAAGUUUGAAACUUUGCUCUCUGUGAAACUUUCCAUUUUAUGCUAAGCUAGCACAAACAGGCCCUGGACCCGGACCUCCAGGCAAGACAGCAAACAAGGUGCUACUCACAUCUCUAAUUUUCUAGCACCUCAGAUACAUCUGGUGCUUACCUGAUGGUUUUUUUACCCCCUUGGAAAAUAACUCAGUCAGUCAGAGCUUUGUUCACAGGAUUAAAAGGGGAACGCCAUGCUCCUUUGUAAGUAUCUGGCUAACUACCCCGUCACAUUCACACAAACAGCAACAGAAAAAAAAAAAAACUUACAACAAGAACUGAUGAGGCCGGUGUAGUUGUGAUGCUAAAACACAAACCCGGACUUUUCUUUCCUCUUACGUUGAGGCUGAUGGAGCCGUGACUGAUUGUAUGCCAUCAUUUACUCAUUUAGCUUCACCAUCUUUCUUUUUCUGCUCUUUUUCUACCUCAGCAGCAACAGAAGAAGAAGAAAGAGGGAGAGCCAUCCUCUGACAGCGGCAGUGAAUCGGCCUCGCUUCAUCCCUGCCACAGAAGCGUGAUCAAUGUCUCGUACGUCCAUUUUCUAUUGGUAAUCCUCCACAAAUUGCCCUCCGUCGCAGUUUGUGUAUCAGCUGUUUGCACUGGAUUAAUGCGAGUCACUGGUGGCAAGUGUUCAAAUCAAUGUUUAUUAAUGGUUUCUUUAAGUGUUUAAAGAUUAAGUCAUUAACAUAUUGAUGAAGUUUUCGAAGUUGCCCAGGGAGAGAAAAGGAGUCGGAGCUGAAGAGGGUUUGACGAGAUGCUGAACUGUCGCCAGCCGCCGAAAAACAAGAGGCUGAGGAUGGAAAAAAAAAAAAAAAAGAAAAGAAGAAGAGCAUCAGGCGCUCCUCUCACUGAGGCAGAGUUUCUCCUGUUUGUUAAAAUGUCCUCAGCUACAUCUGGAGGAUGAGAUGCAGUCAGCUCAGAUUGAUUUUACCAUUCAGCAGCGACCUGCCGCAGCCCUUUGGCUCACCAUGGUAAUUCCCUCUCUCACCUGAUAAGGCCUGGAAAACCACCGAGGUGGAAUUAAAAACGGAGACGCCGUCUUCCUGUGUCAGAGGAAGAGAACUGGUAAAAGAUGGCGACAAGCAUGGAUGUGACUGGCACAGGUGUACAGGUACAGGUACAGCUCAGCUCCUGAGACAUUUCACCGGACCGAAGUGAGAAACGUUACCGUGCUCGGGCCCAUCUGAGGAAACUCACAUCUGCAGCAGCCAGGUGAGAGGGAGGGCGAGCUGCUGUUAUCGGGGUCGAGUGACUGUACAGUCCACUCCAGGUCAGACCUGCAGGUCCACAGCUGAUCCCAGUCAUUCCAGGUAUGGACGCUUCACAUUGACAGGAAGUGCACGACCUCGACUCUUUGCGUGAACACGGUUUUACUGCUCUCAGCAUCGUGCUCUGUGAGCCUGUCGACAGCUGAAGCUCCUGUAUGACUGAUGCCUUCACUGAGUUUUCACUGAAGCAUCGAUCACAGCGAUCGGCUCAGUUUCGGCGGCGCAGCCCUGUCAGUGCACGCUGUGAGGACGAGUCUGAGCAUCCGUCCACAUCCACAUGUUAAGGAUGAUGCAUUGUACUGUUGAUAAUUCAAACAUCUGUAGAGCAGUGCAGAAGUGUGAGGAUCGGUACUCGUCUUGGCUCCUCCCUGAUGAGCCAGUGUUGGACAUCAGCCUGGAGGACGCUGCGUCUUACGGAGAUGUUCCUGUGUGAAACUGACUGGACGUGUUUACACCUGUGAGCAGGAACAGGUGGGGCGAGGCUCCGUGUAGCUUGGUAAACACAACAGUCUGUGCAUAGUUACACAUGCGUGUUCGAGGAUUUUUUCAAAAGCCUAAAAAUCUGUUUCUACAACAUCUGCACGUCUACGACACACACACGCUCUGCCACACAUCGCUUACAUCACUUCCUGCAGCGGCACUGAACAUGGAAAAUCACAGGGUGCAGAGUUUCCUGACUCAGUCUGAGUUACACAACAACACACUGAGGAAGAGGAGGUGAAGGAGAGACAACAGGAAAAAACUUUUUUCUUUUUAUCAGAGUUUUAAAGAUUUUUAAAUGAUCUGAUGGUUUUCUGUUGUUGAAGAUAAACUCUCAGCUCGCUGACGUUUGAAGCUGAUCAGCAGGAGGAAGAGGAUUUUUAAUCAUGUUUUAAUUCUGCUGAUUCAUUGUUUCAUUGGUUUUCAGUGUUUUUCAGCAGCUUUUUAAAUUUAAUUUACUAAUUAGAUAUUUUUAAGUAUUUCCCUCAGAGGAAAGGUUAAGAAUAGAAAUAUAUUAAAAAGAAAAUUUAACAGAUAGAACUUUUUUUAUAACCAACACAAAUUAUUAACACUACAUUUAAAAACUUUAUUGCAACUUAAAAAUUAUAUAAAUAUAAUGUAUUUAUAAUAAAAAAAAUAAUAUAUAUAUUUCAAAUAAUACAAAUUACAAAACCUGAGUAAACCUACAGGUGUUACAGUGUUUAACCUGAAGUUUCAGUGCAGUGUGUGGGACAGUUAACAUGUUGUAGACGUGUUACAUAAUCACAUGCAGCCUCUGCGUCAGCAGCCUGUCACAGAGGAAACUUCUACAUCAUUUUGCCUUCAUGCACAUUUGCAGCAUCAGCGUUCAACCAACCAAAAAAAAAAAAAACAAACUCCAGACUAACGUUUGAAAAUCUGAAAUCAGCUCCACAAGCUGCCGUUCAUUUUUAAACACCUUUUAAAAACAGAGCUUCGCUUCACACAAAGCUCAUCAGCAACAAAUCAGCACAGAGAUCUAAACUUGUCAUCAGAGCUGUUUCAAACUCCAACACACCCUCCACAGCCUGACACUUCACCUCACGCAUGACUCAUGUGUUUUUACCACAUUUGCACGACAAAAACUUAAACACAUAAAGUUUUCUUUUUGAUUUAACCCCAAACAUUUCACCACUAACAGGAGGCAGAUCAGGUUUUUCUUACCUGAGAGGUCUUUUCCUGAUGGAUCCCAUCAGUCCCCUCAGACAGUGAGGUGGACUCUGGUCUUCACCUGCCUGCUGAGCUGCACUUUUCCUUCCGCCUGCAGCCAGACUCACUGCUGUCAGCCGCGUCACAGGCUUUCUCUGCCCUGCUCUCAGUCUGCACGGCUGCAGGUUGUGUGUGUGUGUGUGUGUGUGUGUGUGUGUGUGUGUGUGUGUGUGUGUGUGUGUGUGUUUGUGUGUGUGUUUGUGUGUGUGUUUGUGUUUGCCGUGAAGUGGAAAGUGCAGCAGCCCGGCCGGAGCCUCCUGCAUGCUUCCUGACGACCUGGGAUUUUAUGCAUCAUGCUUUUAAUAAGCACAGACGAGAAGCCUCUCCAAACCUAACCCCCACCACCUCCAACACACACACACACACACACACACACACGCACACACACACCUCUUUAGGCGGCCUGAUCCCUGGAUUUACGGGCUUAGUAUUAAGAAAAUACUCCUGCAAUUUGGGAUUAGACCCAAAAACCCUCACAACAACAAUGACUCCGUCCAUUUGAUAUCUUGAUACUUGUGAUCAAUCACUGGCUUUGUCCCAGUCGGACACUUCCAGAGGACACGCAGAGGAAAUGAGGCCACGAAGAUUUCAAACUUUUUCACAUUAACUUCCCUGAACAACAGAUUUUUUUCCCCAUAACCUCAGAUUUCUGGGGGUUUUGUGUGUGAUUUUAAUUCAUGAUUGCAGGAAUUUACAUAAUUUACUUUUAUGUUAAUUUGUAUUUGCUAAAAGUAUUUUUAAAUAUGCACGUGUUUAAUUUUGAAAGUAUCUAUUUGAUCAUCAGAUGGGUAAAAUUUUACUGAUCGUUCUGUGGAGGUCAUCGUUAGGCCUCUUUUCAAUGAGCAUCUCCGGAUUUAAUUUAAACUGCACUAUUAUCUCAUUAAUUCAUGACUGAACCAUAACUCUGCUUUUUGUUUGUUUGCAGGUUUCUCA